ACCAAAUAAAAAACAGAAACCCCACCCACCCCUUUCUAUUUCUCUCACGUGCAUUUCACUCUCUACUCCCAUCUUCUAGAAUUCUCUCCACUCUCACUUUCAUUUUGUUCGUAUGUAUUCCAAUUCACCAUAAUUCUUUUUCUCUUCUCUCCACUCUUGAUGAUUAAUUACUCAUAUAAGCAAAGCUAUCUCCUAGUUUACAAGUGUUCAUGGGUAAAGAUUUUGGAGUUAGGGUUAUUGCUCUAAGAAAGGAGAAGAAUACCCAUCUCUUGAAAGUUGGUCAUUUAUAUUCUUUGAGAUUCGAUGAAAAUUGCUCCGGUGGUCAUUCCGGAAGGCAUUGCUAGGAACGGAGUUGAUUCGUCAUAGUUAUUCAAAGUCAGCUGAGUAGGGGUUUCUAGCAGAUAUUGAGAGUCGUCGGUAUCAUUCUAUUGGCUUGCCGGACUAGUAUUAGUUCGUGCGCCGGUCACGAUUGAAAUUGGGUCGUGACAAAGUUGGUAUCAGAGCCUGGUUGUAGGUCCAAAUAGCUGCAGACAUAGAGUGAUAAUAGAUUUUUGCUAGUAAAUUGUGAACCGCGGCACCAUUUACUUGCAAGAAGCUAUUAGUACUCUAUGGUAGUCUCUAUCUCACUUGUUGUCCAAUCCUAUCAUCUCUCUUUUGGUAUUUGAUUUGUCUCACUCUGUUUGUCGUCUUGUCUAAUAUUCGGUAAAUUUCCUUUCGUUUAGUGAGUAUAUCACCCAACACUAGGAUCACCACUAUAAGUGAAGUUUGUUCCUUAUACGUUUACUUUCCAACCUUAAAACCCUAGUCAAAGAGGUCGUGAUUCAGUCGUACUCGUUGUCGACGGACGUGAUUGGUUGUAGUAGUAGUAGUUAGUGUUGAGGUGCCUAGAGUAAGACAAAUAUUGCUAAAGGUAUUGCAACAACUUAUUGUGAUUGUUGUUGAGAAGUAGCAUGAUAAUGAUAAUCUAAGACAAACAAAUUUUGAUGGGUCACAAGUAGUUAGCCAAGGUGAGUACUAGACGAUAACCCCAUCUAGAGAGAUUAAUGUUGAUAUAGAGAAAUUCAUGAUACUUAAACCCUUACCUUUUCUACGUCGAGUGUGCGUGAGGAUCCACUUAAAUUCAUUGACUAUCUAAAGAGGUUAUAAAAAGCGUUAGGAUGCUCAGAUAUAGGGGCAGUGAAGUUGACAUCAUUUAAGUUGGAGGAUUUGGUAUAUGACUUGUUUGAUACACUUACCUGUACAAAUAGGAUCACCGACGUUGGCAUGGAGUGAGAUCUCUUGAUUGUUUAUGACUCGUUUUCUUCUAGAAAGUGUUGGAGAUGGUUUAAAUUAUGACUAUGAGGGAUUUAAACAAACUGAGGUUAUGUCGAUUUCAAAGAACAAAACUCGUUUUGCAGAACUUUCAAGGCACAACAAAUAUUAGUAUCACAAGAGAGAUAGUUCUAUUAGACAAAUUUUUUUACAUAGUGUAGAGUCGUAGAUUAGAUUAUGGGGCAUAUAGAUAAUUCACUUUUCCUUAGAAUAAUUUUGACUCUAAAGGUUGAUUUCAAUCUGAAUUUUUAUAUUUUUUCAAAGAGGAUAAAAUAUACUUUCAAUGUGGUCGAGUAUGCAAUAACAGGAGGGGUCGUCCUUGGCAGCUACGACACAAUUAUUAUCUAGUCAUGAAUUAAUACUAGUAGCUUUAGUAUAGAUUAUGACAGGAUGUUGUGUAUGAAUUGGAUGUUCUUCCAUCAUAUCACCUUAGUCUGUUAUAACAAGGGAGUGAGAAUUGAGAUAUUGGGUAAUCGCUUUUAUCCUUUGCGAGUAGAACGUGAUUUUGUACCAUAUAAUUUAACCUCUUGUUUAGGAUCUAACAAUGUAUUUAAAAAGGGAGUUAUUAUGGAUAAUUAUUCUUGAUUAUGGAAAUACAAGUGAGUGAAGAAAAAACAUUAAAUAGUUCCAAAAACGUGAGUUUCCUAAUGUUUUUCCUGAAGAAUUUCUUAGAUUGCCUCAUGAUAAGAAUAUUAAGAUCUCUAUAAACUUGGUUCCUAACACUCAAUGACAUCCAUACCUCUUAAUCAAAUAGUUAGCAUAACUUUAAGUGUAAGGGAGAAGCUAUAUGAUUUUCUCAAUAAGAUAUUUAUUAGUCCAACUUCUUUUCCUUGGGAAGCCGUGAUAUUGUUUAUAGGGAAGAAAGAUGAACCGUACCCAUGUGAUAUUGUGUGGUAGAGAAUCGAAUAGUAGGGUAGUAACGAGUGAAUAUUGUUUACUUUGAAUUGACGAGUUGUUUGAUAACCUCAAGAAGCUAAGUGUUUUGUCUAGGAAUGAUUUGCGGUCUAGGCAUCACCAAUUAAAGGUUGAGAGGGGUCUUAUUUCAAUGAAAACUCUUUGCACAUACUAUGAGCAUUAUAUAAUUCUGGUUAUGUCUUUUGAGUUUACUAAUGCUCUAACAUCUUUAUGGAUAUUUGAUAGAGUUAGGAUAACGGUCAUAAACCUGAGAGUUUUCAAAUCAAGAUUGUACUGAAGACCUACUAGGAUUGAAAAAUUUCUUUUCAAGUCUCAAAAUUCUACCUUUUCUUAUGAGUCACCAAAAUAAAAUAAAA